rnacentral:rRNA from 1 species
UACGGGGGGGGCAAGCGUUGUUCGGAAUUACUGGGCGUAAAGGGCUCGUAGGCGGCCAACUAAGUCGGAUGUGAAAUCCCCAGGCUUAACCUGGGAACUGCAUCUGAUACUGGAUGGCUUGAAUCCGGGAGAGGGAUGCAGAAUUCCAGGUGUAGCGGUGAAAUGCGUAGAUAUCUGGAGGAAUACCGGUGGCGAAGGCGGCAUCCUGGACCGGCAUUGACGCUGAGGAGCGAAAGCCAGGGGAGCAAACGGG